rnacentral:lncRNA from 1 species
CUGUCCCAGUGGGUCUGUUCUGGUUUCACCCCGAGCCCAGCAGGAGUGGAGUAAAGGGAGAAGGUUAAUAUGGUGGGAGUCUGGAGUUGGAAUUGGCCGGGGACAGAGUUUAGAAUGCAGGGAUUCAGGGUCAAGGUCUAGCAUUCAUUCUAGAAGUUACUUGACAGCCAUCAGCCAGUUACGCUACAGCCAUCAGCUAGUUCCCAUCGUUGCUUUCAUGGGGCUUGAGGUCUUUGAGGGGCAGGAGAUGAAGCUGGUGAGGUUGUGAGCUGGGCCAGGGCUUUGAGGACAACCUGGAGCUGGAAGAACAUGCGACCACCUCAGGGAGGGUCAGGGAAGGAUGAGUGGGGAGGUGGCCCAUGUCCUGCAAGGGCCUUGCUGAUGGGAUGUCCCGAAGGGCUGGGCAGCCUUAGAUCGGGCUAAGAGGGCAGGACUAUGGGCCAGUGCCAGAGCCAGGCUUGUCUGUUCUCAAAGGAUCAGCCUCCUUUGGGGGACAUUUUGUGUCAAGGAUAGGGCUGAGGACCUGCGUUCUGAACGUCUUUCCUGGGAUUCUUGACAGCCAAAGAAAUUCGAGGAUCGCCUCUAUGAAGGUGCCAGGGAAACGGAGUCAUCGACCCAAGAAGGUCGUGGGAGAUGAGGUCCCAGGGUAAACAGCGGGUCCCGCCACUAUGUCACCCUUUCCUGCCGCCUCCCCGGAUGAACUGCAUGCAGGGCGGCCGGCUCCGUGGCAGGCAGAGGCAGGAAGAGGCGCGGAGCCCGCUCGUGGCGAAGAGGGGAGUGCGGCGGAAGGGGAGGGCGGCGGAAGGGGAGGGCAGAGGCAGGCGGCCGGUCGCGUGGGGCCUGGGCCGCCCCAGGAGGGCCUCUGGCUGGAUUCUUAGCAGAUGGAAGCCGUGCAAGGGCAGGAGGCAGGGGCCUGACGUGUUUGGAUUGAGGUUGCAGGAGGGGCCCCUGGCUGCUUCAGGGAGAAUAAUUUGGAGGCGAGCGGGGAGGUG